rnacentral:rRNA from 1 species
AUUGAACGCUGGCGGCAGGCCUAACACAUGCAAGUCGAGCGAGCGGCGGACGGGUGAGUACUGUCUGGGAAACUGCCUGAUGGAGGGGGAUAACUACUGGAAACGGUAGCUAAUACCGCAUACCAUCAGAUGUGCCCAGAUGGGGUUUGCUGGUAGGUGGGGUAACGGCGAACCUAGGCGACGAUCCCUAGCUGGUCUGAGAGGAUGACCAGCCAAACUGGAACUGGGACACGGUCCAGACUCCUACGGGAGGCAGCAGUGGGGAAUAUUGCACAAUGGGCGCAAGCCUGAUGCAGCCAUGCCGCGUGUAUGAAGAAGGCCUUCGGGUUGUAAAGUACUUUAAGUUGGGAGGCGUUACCAACAGAAUAAGCACCGGCUAACUUCGUGCCAGCAGCCGCGGUAAUUC